AUAACCCUGCAUCUUGUGAAAUCUUACGCAUUGCGUAGGGAUUCAGUAUCAUUACUGAUAGUGAGAUGCGGGGCUCU
rnacentral:ncRNA from 1 species